UCAAGGACUUUUCAGCUUCUCGCUGUGCCCUGCCAGGUGCACAAGAAGCUGGGAGAGCACAGCCAGGACAGCUGACCCAGACUGGCCAAAGGGACAUUCCGUACCAUAGAACAUCAUGCUCCAUAUGUAACUGGGGAAGCCAGCUGGGAGGCGGGAUCGCUGCUCAGAAGCAGACUGGGCAUCAGCUUUCUCUCCAGAUAGUCCUUGGACUUACCACUGGUAUCAAAUAUAUCAAAUAUCUCCCUCCCAUCUUACAUCUGAUGCCAGUGAUAAACUGUGUCUUCACAGCACCGUGUGUUGUCCAUUGAAGAACAGAAGAUGAAAAGAUGAAAUUGCUUGACAUAUCCUGGAGUUAGCAAGUGCCCAAAAUGAAGAAGAUACCAUUUCUCUUUAGUUAACUGACACCUGAACAACCACUGAGACACAAAUCUAUGCUGAUGAAGGAGCAAGAGAGCUGUGAAGGUGCCUGACACAAUCCUCAUCACAUACCACAGAGGCAUUUCUGCCACUCCAGAGCAAGGGUUGACGUUCCCUUUGUUUCCCUUUCCUGUUAGCUCUCUGCUAUGCUCCUUCCUUGAGCUGAAGAUAAUCACAUUAGGAACAUACUGUGCUUUCUAUGUUUAGAUCUCUAAUUAGUUUACUCAAUAGGGUAAGUAUAAUUAUCCUCAUUUUGAACCAUCAUAAGAAGAUGAAACAAUUUGCUCAACAUCUCACCCCAGUCAUUUAUAUAUAUGCUUUUAUGUCUAUGAAAAUCCUACUAAUAUAUUCCUUUUAGUAAUAUCUUGUCGCAGUUAGUUCCACAUACUAACUGUGCCCCACAUCUCACUUUUAAGCAUUUAUUUCCAAGUAAACUCCAUGCUAGACUUCUGCCCACCUCGCACCAGACGAGUUGCCGCAGAGGGUGAGAGGCACAGCCACACAGCAACAGCAGCGAAGCAAUCUGCCCCGCGGGACACCUCAUCCUCUGCAAGAGACCAUGGAGGAGAUGCAAAAAUCCUACAGCACAGGAAGCUCCACAAACGUUACUUCCAGACCACUGCCAUGUGUGUGUCCAGGGGCUAGAAGGACCAGGGGACACAAGGAAGAACAACUGACGGGAUUCAGCUAAUGCUCUGCAGCUAUUGACCAGAGAAUUGUACUCCUACUAUUUCGUAAAUUAUCCAUAUCUUUAUUAGAUACUGGGAGAUAAAUGCAUUUAUAACUUCCUCCUCCAACAUAUAAUGAUGAUUAGCUAAAAACUUUGUAUGAUCCAUUCAUAACCCUGGUCUGAAACUGGUGGAGCAAAAUCCAAACUAGGUCAGAUGCCAAAGCACAAAGAACAGUGACACAAACAGGAGAUAUACAGUUUGGUUCGCAGGUACUGAAGAAAGUAAAGAAACUCACUGCAGAGAGAGAAACCUUUUUAAUGCUGAUGCAGAAGUAUCCUUACUCUUUCACAGGGGUUCAGGUCCAGUCCAUUUUUAGACACAACCAAUCUCUUCCUAGAUAUUUCAGAUAGGAAUACAUUGCAUUGAUGGAAAAUACUUUCCUUCACAGUCAAAACAGAGUUCUCCUCAGUUUACUCCCUUCAUGUCUUUUCCUAUUACUGCACAAAAUUUUUCAGCAUCAUGGGUGUUUACGCUUUUUCUAAUACUCAGAAUAGACUAGACUAUUUCAGUUGGAAGGAACCUACAACCAUCAUCUAGCCCGACUGCCUGACCACUUUAGGGCUGACCAAAGUUAAAGCAUGUUAUUAAGGGCAUUGUCCAAAUGCCUCUUAAACACUGACAGGCUCAGGGCACCGACCACCUCUCUGGGAAGCCUGUUCCAGUGUUUGACCACCCUCUAGGUAAAGAAAUGCAUCCUAAAGUCCAGUCUGAACCUCCCUUGAUGCAGCUUUGAACCAUUCCCAUGCAUCCUGUCACUGGAUACUAAGGAGAAGAGAUCUUACUUGCUUGUUAAAUCCCUCAGUACCCUCUUUACCUUCCUUAAAUUCCACACCAUAACUUUUUGAUUUAUCAGCUCACUAGUUGGAAAGUAAUAAAAACACGAGGCUUACAAUUAAGAAAAUAGUGCUAGUAAGAUUAAGGAAAAAAUGGAAAUUAAGCAAGCCUCCAAAGCAAAAAGCUGUGGAACACCUCCAGAGGACGUUAUAGACAGUAAAAUUUUAUACAUAUGCAGGAAGUAAUUAGAUUCAUGAAAGAAAAACACUUCAAGUGCUGUGAAACAGAAAGAUGUCACCUCUCAGCAAGUCAGUGGCAGAUCACUGAAGGAUGGGCGGUGAACAGAGAAAGAGACCACAUGCUUUUCUUGCUCAUCUGCUGCUUCCCAAGGAUCUUGUGUCAGCCACUUUCAAAGAAAGACUAAUGAAUGAGAUGGACCUCUGGCCUGAUUCAAUACAUCAGUUCUUACAUUUUUUUAUUAUCCAUUUGGGAUGGGUAGGUUGCUUGUUUGAUUGAUUUAAUUUAUCUACUGCAUCACACAGAAACUGUGCCAAGAAAACAAAUUGCUAUAUUCAUCAUAAUGUUGCUGGGAUGGAGGUCAACAGUGCAGAGCAGCACUUCUGGACUGAUAAAGGUAUAGCCUGACAGCCUCGGAAAGGAGUGUCAGAAAGAGGUGCUCGAGGUGCGAGCUUGUGCGGUUAAGAGAGCAGGAGUGGGCGAGUUGCACAAAAGCAGAAGUGUCACUCGGAUUUUGCUCUUUACACAACAUACAUAAGUGAGUCUCAUGACAGAUGAUAGAUACAUCUCUGCGCAGGUUCAGUGAGAAGCUGCGUGAACUAGGAAAUCAAGUAGCACUGCACUUACGGGGACCCACAUGAGGCCCGGUGACGAUGAGGCGCUGCCUGCGGAGCUGCGGGGUGGUGCUGGUGAGGAGCUGGAAGCAGCAAGCAUAAUUCAGCCCCAUCGGCGCCUGUGCUAGCAGGACGCCCUGCUUACCAGGGACCAGGACAGUACUCCUUACGAGCAAAACAUCAGCCUCCUGCAGUGCAACACUGCUUUAAGCUGCAGAGGAGUCAUGUUUUCCCAGCAUGAAGUUCAUCAGAAUGAGCUCCAGGUCACUGGCUUGAGGCUUCACUAGCUGAAACUUGCACUUUCAGGCCAUUACAGUUGCAGGGUUGUAUUUUCCUAUGCACAGAUUCCCCUUUCCCCACUUUCUUCUUUUUCUAUUUCACUCAAUGGUGAUGCUUGGCUUGUAUCGUUCCUGGCACAAGGUAACUGAGGGUAAGUGCCCUGAGCUUAGUGACUGUACUUGCAUCAGAAAAAGGUGAGACAGUUGACGGAGACUCAUGGUCACAAACCAGAAUGGGUUUUGGAUCUCUGUUUUCUUAUCACUUAAUAGAAAACUAUAUUUAUUUAGUUCAAGGAAGUGAAAUUCAAUAUUGGAAUUAAUAUUUUUUAUUUUCCUCAGUAGACUAAUUAAAAAAAAAUCAGACUACUGAAGU